GCUCGGGUGAUGGAAUAGGUAGACAUGCAAGACUUAAAAUCUUGUGGACAGUAAUGUCCGUACGGGUUCAAUUCCCGUCCCGAGUA
rnacentral:tRNA from 1 species